CGUCUCAGCCGUGGGGCUGCUUGGAUGUUUUCGUUCCACAGCCGAGGCAAGGGACCGAGAGCAUCAUUGGAGGACUCUCGUCGGGGCUGCCUGUAGCUAAGGGUUGCCACGUUUUCCUGCCUCAGACACUU